AUGCUUAAAAUAGAUCUUGCUAAAGCUUUUGAUCGUUUGGAAUGGAACUUCAUAGUUUCUGCCUUGACACGUAAAGGGCUGCAUGGUCAUUUCAUUAAUUUGAUUCAUGCGUGUAUCUCCUCACCUACUUUCUCUGUGCUUAUUAAUGGUCAGCCCUCUCAAAAAUUUAAGAGCUCCAGAGGUAUCAGACAGGGCUGUCCCAUGUCGCCUUAUUUGUUUGUUUUGGCCAUUAAUGAGCUCUCCAUUAUGCUGAAUGAAGCUUUGAGGGCCAAUCAUUUACAAGGUAUUUCACUUGGACCAAAUUGCCCUUCUGUGCAUUCUUUGCUGUUUGCAGAUGAUCUCCUUGUGUGUGGACAGGCCACUUGUCAGGAAGCUCAGGCUAUGGCCAACCUCUCAUCAUUUCUGUGCUAGCUCUGGUCAAACACCCAAUUGGAACAAAUCUGCUAUUCUUUUCAGUUCCCAUGUUCCCCAACAGGUUAUGGAUGA
rnacentral:rRNA from 1 species